UCUACUUUAUUGUAAAUCCCCGAUUGUAUCUGAAGUUAUUUUCAGGAACUUUAUGGUGCAUGCUCCCAAACCUGUGUGCCAUUUCCCAAUUGAAGCACAGAGAGAGAGAGAGAGAGAGAGAGAGAGAGAGAGAGAGAGAGUUUGACACCAUAAUCUCUCCACAUUGUGACUCCAGCUGAAAUGAAAUUUGAUAGAAAACAGUUCUACAGGGAGGGAAUUAAAGAGCUAGCCAAGAAUGUGCUGUUACAUAAAGUUCACAUGGACUUUGUUGGCUGUAGUACUGAAAUAUAACAGUUGACAUUCUUGUAAAUCCUUCAAUGGUAUGGUUGGUCAUGUCAGACAUUUGUCUCCUGUAGUUACCUAGUCCUCUGCUAAAUUCCCAUGGUUCACAGGUGGGAAGUAAAUAAUGUGGUAUUCACAAACAAUGGGAAGGAAACUUUGUGAAAAGAUUAGAACAAACCUGGAAGAUUUCAAAAAGGGCCACAACAAUAAUUGUGCCUCAUUGUUACCCUGCUGGAUAAGAAGAUGAAAGAAGUACUGCAAAAUAUCUAGGAACCAGAGAGAAAGAAUACUGUUUGUUCUGGAGAACCCUGAGAUUUGCUGAAAUAUGUACACCCACACAGAGUGAGAGAGUGAGGGGCACUAGAGAACAUCCCAGUGUGGUCACAUAUUAUGGCCACAUAAUGGUUAUGCUUCUGUACAGGAAAUAAUGAAAAAACCAGCAACUGGGGAGGUGAAAUUGAAUGUUCUUAAUGAAGUCAGACUGGCUGCUUGGAACACUGAACAAAAGCUAUUGCAACACUGCAGUUGCUAAUUCUAAUAAUUAGGGUUGGGCAAAUUUUUCGUAUGUCCAUUAAAUUCGUUUCAAAUUCGGAUCUAAAGCACUUUUGAAGCGAGUUUUGACACAUCUGCUCACUGUCUUCCUAAUAUUACAAAUUUGAAUCAAAAGGCACCUUUUUUUGUCUGUCUCUGAUGUCUUCGGAUGUAGCUGUAGCCCCGCUGAGAGGUGAAGCCAUGUUGGCAUGCCUCUCAGCCAAUCAGGGCAGAAGAGAGAGGGAGAGGCGGGGCAUUGUUCUUGUUGCCCUUAAAAAAAUGUUAGAAAAUUCCCAAAAAAUCACUGGAUGGGCCGAACAUUAUGAAACUUGAUAGGCAAAGAGUGGUGAAUUUUUGCUUUGAUUGUGGCAAAUUUCAUCUCAAUAGCUUUCAAAAAGCAGGAGAAUGAAGCCUCUGAAUUUUCCCCAUUUAUAAAAGCAUUGGGCUGAAGCAGACAUUUCUCCAAUAGUACUAUGCCCGCUUUAAAACUACAAUACCCAGAUGUCCCAGGCCCUCUCUCCUCUUAACAUUCCCCACCCCCUUUUGUCCUCAGAAUCAUAGAAUAGUAGAGUUGGAAGAGACCUCAUGGGCCAUCCAGUCCAACCCCAUUCUGCCAAGAAGCAGAAAAUCGCAUUCAAAGCACCCCUGACAGAUGGCCAUCCAGCCUCUGCUUAAAAGCCUCCAAAGAAGGAGCCUCCACCACACUUGGGGGGAGGGAGUUCCACUGCCAAACAGCUCUCACAGUGAGGAAGUUAUUCCUAAUGUUCAGGUGAAAUCUCCUCUCCUGUAGUUUGAAGCCAUUGUUCCAUUGCGGCCUAGUCUCCAGGGCAGCAGAAAACAAGCUUGCUCCCUCCUCCCUAUGACUACUCCUCACGUAUUUAUACAUCAUGUCUCCUCUUCUCUUCUACAGGCUAAACAUGCCCAGUUCUUUAAGCCGCUCCUCAUAGGGCUUGUUCUCCAAACCCUUGAUCAUUUUAGUUGCCCUCCUCUGACCAUCUUGACCAAACUUUCAUAAGACAGAUUUGCAUGCUUCUAAGACUGUCACAGGAAGGCAUCAAGAAAAAGAGUUAAGACUUGGAAAUUUCCUUAUAUGCCCCAAAAUAUAUAACCAGUAAGUAAAACCUUUUGAUUGACAUACCUACUACCUAGUAAAAAAAUUUGCACAUUAAAAUGGUUUAUGUAGACAAAAGCAAUUGUUCAUAAUGCCUGACUUCAGUAGAGUUCCCAAACAAUGUCUCGGAUGGUU